UUAAGCAUAUCAAUAAGCGGAGGAAAAGAAACCAACAGGGAUUACCCUAGUAACGGCGAGUGAAGCGGUAACAGCUCAAAUUUGAAAUCUGGCCUUCACGGGUCCGAGUUGUAAUUUGUAGAGGAUGUUUCGGGCAAGGCUCUGGUUUAAAUUUCUUGGAACAGAAUGUCAUAGAGGGUGAGAGUCCCGUCUAGAACCGAUGGCCGCGUCCAUGUGAAACUCCUUCGACGAGUCGAGUUGUUUGGGAAUGCAGCUCAAAAUGGGUGGUAAAUUUCAUCUAAAGCUAAAUAUUGGCCAGAGACCGAUAGCGCACAAGUAGAGUGAUCGAAAGAUGAAAAGCACUUUGAAAAGAGAGUUAAACAGUAUGUGAAAUUGUUGAAAGGGAAGCGCUUGCAACCAGACUUGCGUGUGGCGGUUCCCCCGGUCUUCUGACCGGGCUACUCCGUCACAUUCGGGCCAGCAUCGGUUUGGGUGGUUGGUGAAAGGCCCCGAGAAUGUAUCUACCUCCGGGUCGACUUAUAGCUCGGGGCGUAAUGCGGCCUACCUGGACCGAGGAACGCGCUUUUGCUCGGAUGCUGGCGUAAUGGUUGUAAGCGGCCCGUCUUGAAACACGGACCAAGGAGUCUAACAUCUAUGCGAGUGUUAGGGUGUCAAACCCUUGCGCGUAAUGAAAGUGAACGGAGGUAAGAACCCUCAAGGGCGCAUUAUCGACCGAUCCUGAUGUCUUCGGAUGGAUUUGAGUAAGAGCAUAGCUGUUGGGACCCGAAAGAUGGUGAACUAUGCCUGAAUAGGGUGAAGCCAG
rnacentral:rRNA from 1 species